AUUGAACGCUGGCGGCAUGCCUUACACAUGCAAGUCGAACGGCAGCACGGGGCAACCUGGUGGCGAGCGGCGAACGGGUGAGUAAUGCAUCGGAACGUACCUUUCAGUGGGGGAUAACGUAGCGAAAGUUACGCUGAUACCGCAUAUUCUGUGAGCAGGAAAGCAGGGGAUCGCAAGACCUUGCGCUGAUUGAGCGGCCGAUGUCAGAUUAGCUAGUUGGUGAGGUAAAGGCUCACCAAGGCGACGAUCUGUAGCGGGUCUGAGAGGAUGAUCCGCCACACUGGAACUGAGACACGGUCCAGACUCCUACGGGAGGCAGCAGUGGGGAAUUUUGGACAAUGGGGGCAACCCUGAUCCAGCCAUGCCGCGUGAGUGAAGAAGGCCUUCGGGUUGUAAAGCUCUUUCGGCCGGGAAGAAAUCGCACGGGCUAAUACCCUGUGUGGAUGACGGUACCGGAAUAAGAAGCACCGGCUAACUACGUGCCAGCCGCCGCCGUAAUAC
rnacentral:rRNA from 1 species